GAUCUUGAAGACGCAAUUUUAGCCUGCCACGAUAGUUUUUGUGCAACAUGUGUUGACUCUGCAGAGGGAGUGGCUUUUGGGCGGCAAAUACGAUCAAGUGCGAGAUCGAGGUGGCAUUCACGUUGUUGUUUUUGUUGCCGUGUCCCGAGCAGAACAAAACGCCUCUGUAAAGCAGGCUUUGCCUUGUGCAUGAAUGGUGCUGUAGAAGGAAACUUGGGAAAAGAGGGGACAAUGCACAUUCGAGGGGCUCUUCUCCUCCUCUGCAUGAUCCAAGUGGCUCGGUCGCAGAAAUGGAAACAGGAAACGCCACAUUGGUACCCAAAAGGGGGGGUUAAUAUAGAACGGAAAGAUGGCAAGGCUUGCAGCAACUUGACCCAAAUACUGGACAACUGGAAAUUUGCCAUUUUAACUCGCAUGAAGGAGCUGCUCAUCAAUGACCACG